AAGGGAGAGGAAUAAGUAGAAAUCUACCCUCGGAUCGGGGAUAGCGGCGGGAAACUGCCGGUAAUACCCGAUAACGUCUUUGGACCAAAGGUGUGAUUCCGUCUGAGGAUGAGUCUACUUCCUAUUAGCUAGUUGGCGGGGUAAUGGCCCACCAAGGCAACGAUGGGUAGCAGGUGUGAGAGCAUGACCUGCCUCAUUGGGACUGAGACACUGCCCAGACACCUACGGGUGGCUGCAGUCGAGAAUCUUCGGCAAUGGACGAAAGUCUGACCGAGCGACGCCGCGCGCGGGAUGAAGGCCUUCGGGUUGUAAACCGCUGUCGGAGGGGAACAAAUGUACGGGGGUACUCCCCUGUAUUUGAGUGAACCUAGGAGGAAGGAGAGGCUAAGCUCGUGCCAGCAGCCGCGGUAAGACGAGCUCUCCGAACGUUAUUCGGUAUCACUGGGCUUAAAGAGUUCGUAGGCGGUCUGGUAGGUGAGGUGUGAAAUCCCCCGGCUCAACCGGGGAACUGCGCUUCAAACCGCCGGACUUGAGGGAGACAGAGGUGGGCGGAACAGAUGGUGGAGCGGUGAAAUGCGUUGA
rnacentral:rRNA from 1 species